UGCCGGAUCGUCUAAUGGUAGGACCGCAGACUCUGGAUCUGCGUAUCUAGGUUCGAAUCCUAGCCUGGCAG
rfam:Microgenomates (Curtissbacteria) bacterium GW2011_GWA2_41_24 TT56_C0004, whole genome shotgun sequence.